CAUAUAAUCAUAUAUAACCAAUAAUCAUGCACCCAUGGGCAUGGUCAGCCUUUAAGAAAAGCAAAUGCAGGCAUUAUGUUUUGAGUGUGUGCUUGAUAAUGAGUCUGUGAUGUUUAAAGACAUCUGUUAAGCCGGUAUAAUGAGGAUGUACCAAUGUAAGCACUAGUAAACAGAGACCAGGAAUUGGACUUGAUGUUCCUUGUGGGUUCCCUCCAACUUGUGAUAUGCUAUGAUUCUAUGACCUGCCUGGUGGAAGUCUUAAAAGGAGCUGGACAAAAGUGAUGGUGGAUGGGAAUGAAUGGAUUCAGGGGACUACAGCAACACUGCCCUGGAGAUUAGACAUCAGGGAUGCUGACAGAGCAAGCACAGCUCAAGGGAUAACAGGAUAAGUAGCUUCUGCCAACUUGUUUCAGACAAAUUGUUACCCUGCUACGAGAUGCUUUGUAGUCAAAUAAACAACUCUUCUCCUAGGAAAGACCAAACAAACCACCUGACAGCUUCAUGUGAAUACUUGGCAGAUGUUAACAGCCUUCAACAACCAUUCAGCUCAUCUAGGCUAUUAGAAAAUGAUGUCCCUUUUCAUCAUUCCGUUGGUCGUCUAGUGUUCCAGAGCUGGUGCUGGACCCCAUCCUCUCCUGCCUGAAAAUGAGAACUUUUUCCUUUCAUCUUACCGACAGCUGCAUUGCUUCUUAGCAAUCUGGUAAGAGGCAUAGGUCUUAGGGUGCCUCCACCUCAUCCUGUAGAGGGAUUUUCUGUUGAAUGCUGAAGCUGAGCAGGUGCCCAUUGGAGCAGCAAGCUAAUCCCCCUGGAUAUGACAAGCAAUAACCACCUUUGAGAUUUUGAAGCCUGCAUCUGCGACUCCUUUCUGAGUCUCUUUAUUGACUUCUGCAUUGUGGAUUGUGAGAAGUGGUAAAUUCGGAGUCACAGUUAUGCAAGGUUAUGCAUUUGUACACAGGAAAUACAAUCUCAAGGUGAAACAGCACAAGUGAGAAUAAAAGGGGAGGCCUCAUCUCUUACUGGCUUAUCUGUGCAUGCCAAUGUCAUGUGGUGAUCAUCCCAGUGAGGUGGGAUCCAUUGUUCUUUCCCUUAUGUGUAUUUUGUUGAGUUUGUUUCAAGAAGAGGAAUGACAUUAUGAAGCAUUAUUGCUGAGCCAAAGACCAAUAAUUAAUAAACUCUUUACAACUGACACACAGGUACAUUAAAGAACUUUUAAGAAAUAGAAAUCAUUUAAUUGGGGAAAUGGAAGUUGUUUAGCUUAAGAUGGACUUCAUGCAUUUUGUGUAUUAUGAAGACCUCUUCUACUUACAGAGCUGCAUAAGACAGUUUCACUGUAAAUGAAAAUACAUUGUUAU